ACAAACAUGAAACGAGGAAGGGACAUGUCAGGCUCUGCAUGAGUAAAAACUCGGAGGGCCCAGUUAGUGGGCACCCAGGCUUCUUGUGAUGACUUUCUUUACAUGUUUGGAAAGAGGGGCCAGAAGGAAAGUACUUCCUUCAGUAAGAAUCGACUUGGAUUAUUUGUCCAAGCAAAGCACAUCUCAUGUCUUCAACUACAUUAUAAACCCUUCAGAGGUACUGGGUAUGACCAUUGCAAUUGAAAAACACCAUUUGGAUCAUUAUCUUCAACAGAGAGGCACAUUCACCACUGCUGAGAAUGCUUUCUAGCCUCUCUUCAUGCUGUAUUUUUGAGGCCAGCUCCUUGCAAGUCUAUUAGGAAAUGGGGCUCUAGAAAUCUUGGUGUUUACCUUGCAGGUACAGGACCUGGCUGCUCUGUGCAGGGCGCCCUCAGCACAGAUACAUCAGACUGACCAUAUUUAAUAAGAAGGAAGUGUUUCCUCUUCCGAUCUAAGUGCAGAAGCCACAAUUCUUUCUUUCUAAUACUUGAUAUGCUUUUUCCCACAUGCAGUCUUAUUCUACUUCAGAAUGAGUAAUUUUCAAAAUUCUCCCAGAAUUUUUCCUUUAUGAGAGGCAGGCUGGACUGCAGAGUCUGUUCCCUGGAUGGGGUCAACCAGGUCAUCCCCUGAAUUCACUGUGAAUGAGACACCCCUGAGAGCACUCCCACAUGCUGCUUUCAAACCUAGAGAUGACUUUCUUCCUAAAUUAUGUACAGAAUUUCAUUCUACAAUUAACUUAGUUUAAGAUAAUUCACAAAUAAAAUUGUAACUAAUUACCUCUUUGAGACAAGGCUAUUUUGGGGUGAUAAAACCUUCUGAACCUGGAAUUUGGUGAAGUCUGCAAAAUUUCAUUAAACUUUAUCAAAGAGCAUUGAACUGUACAAUUAAA